CUCCGCCCCGGGGUUGGCGGACUGGAGAAGGAGCGAAGAUGGCGGAGUGAGGCGUGCCCCGGGCAGCCGGCCUCCGGGCCCCGGGCGGGCCUCGCUCGAGAGGCGAGGUGCUUCUGCUGGACUUAGUGAGGUGAGCCGGGGAGGCCGUCCGUUCAUCGGGCGACGAGCAGCCGGUGGGGCGGCGUGGGAUGGGAUGGGAUGGCGACGAACCUAACGCGGGAGCCGGCGGGGCCUGGGCCCCCGGGGCUUUCCUGCCGCCGCCGCCGCGUCGGGUCGGCCCGCGCCGGCUCCUGGUUUGUGGCGGCGCCCUCCCCUCACCCGCCGGCGCUCCACGCCCUUCUCCGUGCCCUUCGCUUUGGCCGCCCGCCGUGUGCUUUACCCUAGUCCUCCACGAUUGCACUGGCGCGGGCUGCGCCUGGAAGCCGCUGUGUCCAUCACCCGUUUAUUUUUCGAAGAAUAUCUCCGUAUCGUUUUUAACAUCGUUUUUAACAGUGACCUAUUAGCGAAGGCGUCAUCAGUCAAGGAACACACAGGAUGAAUAUUUUCAUGGCCUUAGGUGCUUUUAUAUUCAGCUCAGAAUUCAGAACUCAGGACUUGGCAAAUUUACCUUAUGUGUAUGAAUGUUUUCCCUACAUGUGAGUGUGCCCUGUGUUAUCCACCAUCUGGGUGCUGGGAAUUGAACUUGUUCC
rnacentral:lncRNA from 1 species